CCUACGGGAGGCAGCAGUGAGGAAUAUUGGUCAAUGGGCGAGAGCCUGAACCAGCCAAGCCGCGUGAAGGAUGACUGCCCUACGGGUUGUAAACUUCUUUUAUAAAGGAAUAAAGUGAGGCACGUGUCCCUUUCUGUGUGUACUUUAUGAAUAAGCAUCGGCUAACUCCGUGCCAGCAGCCGCGGUAAUACGGAGGAUCCGAGCGUUAUCCGGAUUUAUUGGGUUUAAAGGGAGCGUAGGUGGGUUGUUAAGUCAGUUGUGAAAGUUUGGGGCUCAACCGCAGACUUGCAAUUGAUACUGGCAGUCUUGAGUACAGUAGAGGUAGGCGGAAUGCGUGGUGUAGCGGUGAAAUGCAUAGAUAUCGCGCAGAACUCCGAUUGCGAAGGCAGCUUACUAAACUGACACUGACGCUGAGGCACGAAAGUGUGGGUAUCAAACAGGAUUAGAUACCCUUGUAGUC
rnacentral:rRNA from 1 species